UAAAAAAUAUUAUUUUAAUAAAUAACCAAUUUUAUGACAUGGAAUCCGUGCGCAACUUGCGGACGCACAACUAGUGUUAAAUAAAAGAAGCCCAAAUUUCUCUUCGCAUCCUUUCCAGUAAAGAAAAAUCAAAAACAUGCGGUCAGUGGGGCAAGACAAUUCUAGAAAACCCCAGCUUUUCUUGAUUGGAACAAUAAUUGCCCAAGCUGCUAGUAAAUAUUAGAAGCCAAGUCCAAUCAUUACGAUCUUAAUAAGAACAAACACUCAUAGACAUUAACCAAGUCAUCUCUCCCACCAACAAAAGAAAGCUACAGUGCAUUCAACUCAAUAUGCUCCUUGGUCUCAUGAACGGGUAUUUCUUCUAUUAUGAUCAUCUUUCUUUCUUCUUUCUCUUUUUAAUUUUUUUCCGGAACAUCAACGAGCUUUGUGCCUUCGAUUUCCAAGAGAAUUUAAGUCCCUAGAGCUGCUCGAAUCCAAUGCAUUGAGCCCAUACUCGAUGGUCCGUCCACUGUACUCAUUGCUGAAUUACUCGCUUCCAAGUGCAGCCCUACUAAAUCUCCUCAUAUUCGCGCUGUAUGAACCUGACUCAAAGUCUAGUUUGGUUGAAAUAUGUACUCUGCCCAGGCUUCACCCCCUCGUUAAUGUAUCAGUUCUCCAAGCCUCCCACGCGGCUGCCCGACUCGACUGAGACCCUGAGGACUGAAAAAAAAAAAAGAAAAGGAAAAGGUGGGGCUGUUCGGCUACUCAAAAUCGCUCGUCGCCUAAGCUUCCCAUUCGGCUGCUUUAAUCCUCCCACCCGGUUGAGACUCUGAGGAUGGAAAAUGGAAAACCUGGGGAAACAGAGGAAAAAUCAACGAAAGCAAGGGUUGGAUGAAAAAAAUUAAAAGAUAUUAUGGAAAAUCAAGAAAAUGUCUCAUGGAGCCCUUAUUAGACAAUCGUAGUCAAGUCGAAAGUAAUAUGCCUUUACGAUCUCAACAACAAAGUCUAUCCCAAAAGCAAAAUGGAGAUUUCAAAGAGGAAGGACAAGCAGAAGAAAAUACAUCAGCAGCAAUACCUUUCAAAACAGAGAUCAUCCAAGAACAAUAUCGUACUGGAACUAAGAUGCUCUUCUCGUUUGGGUCAUCAAUCAAAUAGUUAUAUGAAGAAUGAUGAGUCUCACUCAAAACAUCACAAUAAUAGUGAUAUUAUUUUUUAUGAUGAUGAAUCUCUGAGUAUUGAAGUAGAAGAGGAAGGAGAAGAGAAAGAAAAUACAUCAGGUAUAACAUAGUAAUAUAUAGUUGUUUGUGAUGUAGGACAAAAUCUAAUGUAUGGAGUCUUUGAAAUUUAUGACAUAGAUAUAAGGAAAAUAUCUGAACAAAGGGCUGUACGUGGACCUACUCUAUUAGCUAAUGUUUGGGACAUGUCUGAAGAAAACACAGUUGUUGUAAAGUUUAAUGUUCGUGAGCAACCCAUUGAUGAAAAAGGGUGAGUGCUAGCUAGUUUUUUAGGUAUUGUGGCAAGAGAUGCUACAGUAACUUUUCUGAAUUUUAGCGAUUGGAGAACCUUUCCAGAGGAAAAAAAAGACAAACUUUUGGUAUUUGUAAAGAUAAAAUAGUUACUCAUAUUUAUUUUUUUAUUAUUAAAAUAUUACAAGUUGUAUGGAGUCUGUGUUAUAAUUUAUUUUUGUUAUUUUUAUCUCUUUGCAUUGUAGACAAAGUUUACUAUUCCAUGAAUUGGUGAUGAUUGGGUACUUAAGUCCAUAUCAAAAGAAUAGAGGGAUCACAAAAAUAAUUUAAAGGCGAAGUACACAGAAAAAUAUAGAACUCUAUAAGAGCUAUGUUCGAAUAAAUCUGACCAUAUAUCAAGAGAUCAAUGGAAUACUUUGGUUAGUUAUUGGCAUUCAGAAAAAGAGAAGGUAUAAUUUUUAUCUCAUUUCUACUCACGUACUUAUAACUAUUAUUUUUUUUCUACUUAUAUUUUUAUAAUUUUUUAAUCAUAAAAAUAUAGUCACAUAAAUAGAAGUAACCGUGCAAAGUAAAAGAUAGCUCACACUGCAGGAUUAAAGAGUUUUGCACGUUUGAUGGCAGAAAAAUAUAUUUUAAUUAAAUACUACAUAUAUUAAUAUACAGUGUCAAUUAUUCAUUACUCUUUAUGAUUGAUUAGGCAAAAGAUGGUGUGGAGCUCUCACGUGCAGAAAUAUUUAUAGAAAUAUAUAAACAGUGAAAAGAUGGAAGAUCAAUUGAUAGUGAGUCAGCCCAAAAGAUUAUGAGCAUAUAUGACCCUUCAAUAUAGAGCAUUUUGGUACACUAUUCUUUUUUUAUUUUAUUCCUUUCAAACUGAAUUACUUCUUUUCUAUAAAUAGAUGAUGAUGCAGAAAAAAUUAAGCAAUAAUCAAUAUAAUAAUGAAGAAUCUAGGGACAAUGUUGCUUGGGAUGGUGAUAUAUAUUCACAAGUAAUGGGGGCAGAAAGAGCUGGUCAAGUAUGUGGUUUAAGUCUUGGUCCAACUCCCUCUAAGAUGUGGGGUAAAGGUAGUGGAGUUUUUUCAAAUAGCAUGUCAUCAGAGAAAAGAGUUCAGAUACAUAAGUUGCAAGAAGACAUGAAAGUGAUGCAACAACUUCAUCUUGAGGAGAUGAAUGUUAUGAAACAAAAGCAAGAAGAACUAGAAGCUGAGCUUGCUUUGAUAAGAUCAUAUAUGAGUAGGUUCGUGCGUCCUGAAGAUUUGCCUUCGAGUUCAAAUAAUACAGCAAAUAGACAGGUUCCAGAUGCUGCUAGUGCUAAUGGGAAUACACAAUGGACUCAUGGACAACGCAACACCACUCUAAUUCCUUUUGUAUCUCAAUCUCUAAGUCAACGUAAAGCAUUAUAUUUUAUGGUGGCUGUCUUAAGAACUUAGUUUGCUAUGAUUGCUUACUUUUUUUUUUGCUAUUUCAUUUAGGUCAUACUUUUUAAAUAAAAAAGUAUCAAAAUAAUCGGAA